GGCCGUCUAGCUCAGUUGGUUAGAGCGUCGUGCUAAUAACACGAAGGUCGUCGGUUCAAUCCCGACGAUGGCCA